rnacentral:misc_RNA from 1 species
CAAUAAGUGUUCAAUGGCACUUUAAAAUCCAUUACCCACCUUGUGUGCAAUGUAAGGAGGAGGGGGUUUGUCGGACUUUUUUGGUCUGGUUUCCCCUCUUUCAUUAUACAUACCAAAUCUUCUCUUGUUGUCUACUUUUUGAGUAUAAAAAACUCGAAUA